rnacentral:rRNA from 1 species
CCUACGGGAGGCAGCAGUAGGGAAUCUUUCACAAUGGGCGAAAGCCUGAUGGAGCAACGCCGCGUGCAGGAUGAAGGCCUUCGGGUUGUAAACUGCUUUUAUAAGCGAGAAAUAUGAUGGUAACUUAUGAAUAAGGAUCGGCUAACUACGUGCCAGCAGCCGCGGUCAUACGUAGGAUCCGAGCAUUAUCCGGAGUGACUGGGUGUAAAGAGUUGCGUAGGUGGCAUAAUAAGUAGCUAGUGAAAUCUGGUGGCUCAACCAUUCAGACUAUUAGCUAAACUGUUAAGCUCGAGACCGUUAGGGGUAACUGGAAUUUCUAGUGUAGGAGUGAAAUCCGUAGAUAUUAGCAGGAACACCAAUAGCGUAGGCAGGUUGCUGGGACGGUUCUGACACUAAGGCACGAAAGCGUAGGGAGCAAACGGGAUUAGAUACCCCAGUAGUC